GAUGAACCCUUGUGAGGCUUAUCUCAUGGAAUCCCAGCCCAGUUCUGGGCUGUAAGUGGAGCUCAAUGAGGCCACUGAGCAAGCUGCACAGCUGCAGUUGGAGAAGCACACAUCACUGCCAGGUCUUACUGGUGACCUCACAAUUGACAGAGAUGCUGCCAACCUCCUACAUACCCCAAGAGAGAAGAUGCAGAUUCAUUUUACCAUGGAAACAAGAAUAGUGAAGCAAACUAUUUAGGACCAUAGCAUCGGUACUCAGAGAAUGGAAAAGUGCUGCAAUGUCUUCUAAGGAGUCCAUUUGAGAUCAAAUGGGUAUCUUCAGGAGUGCAUGACGGGUGGAAGAAUCUGCUGCUUUCCCUGCUUGGCAGCUCUACCUCCCUCAUAGGAAUAAUGUUCUCAAUUCACACAGAUUAUGUAAACCCUUGGGGCUUAACAAGGACAAGGAACUGCAGAAUUGAAGGAAAGGUAUAUGGACAGAAACUUGACUGGUUCCUACUGCCCUGAGGCUGAAGACAAAGAGGGACUGCUAAAGGUGACAACACUCUGAAUCAAUGGAAAUGUUCCGAAACUCAACUAAAGUGUACAACUAGGGUCAUACAAUUCUGUAAAUGUACCAAAAACUACUCAGUUGUACACUUCAUGGUCUGUUGAACUCAACUGUUGAACUUCGUGGUAUGUAAUUCCUAACUCCAGUAAAGGAUGAUUAAUGCCUCUCUCAACCUUCAUCUGAGAGCAACCUUCAUCAAAGGAUCUUGUGUUUGCAGUUGAUAAUGAUUAACACAGGCACCGACAACAGCUGGAUCUCAUGGACGCAUAUCCUCAAGGGAGGCUCCAGCUUGUGUCAAGUUGGCACACAAAACCAGCCAGUGCUGUCACAGCAGGACAGCUGCACAAAUGAACUCACGGCAGUUGUGACAGCAUGCCUGUGUCCUGAACAAUCUUAAGCCAGACAAGAAUCCCACAGUGAAAGAGGAGGAAAGCAGAAGAAGUUCAAGAGGUAAACAACUUGAGUGGCUUCAGGAAGUUCCUGAAACUGAACACACUCACUAGGCUUCUCCCUCGCAAAACCAAUCCUCUCGAAAUGUGUUGGAAGUGAAAACAAAGCAGCCAAUCCCAGCACUCAGUGCAUCAAGCAGGACCAUCACACCUCCUCCUUAGUCAGUCAGAGCAGGACCAUCACACUUCCAGUGAUUAGCAGCCAUCAACAGCUCCCUCGGAAGAGCAACAAGGGAGCCACAACUCACAGGAUGAUUUUCAAGAUGAGUUCUGCCUUAUACUAAUAUUAAAGGGGUUAUUAUGGUGAAAAAUCAAGAUAAGUACAGUUACUGCCACUGAACUGAACAUACAAGAUGCAUUAAAACGGUGCUGAAAGAAGCCAGAGAGUCAGGAUGGCGCAGCACUGUCCCGGUGUAAAAGCAGGAGGCGUCUGGCGGCACGGGAGGGCGUGGGUCAGCCGUUGCCCCGGUGGGGUCGGGACCUGGUUUGGGCCACUGCUCCACUGCGAAGCGCUGCGCCAGGAAGCGGCCAUCUCUCCGGAGCAGCAGCACCUGGCUGCAGAGGAGACGCGAACCAGGGCUCAGAUUGGCCUCCGGCGGCUUCUUCCAGGGGUGCCCUGGCCACCGAGCGCACCUCACGCGAGCUGCCUGAAGCCUGCCCCCGGCCGCCGCCCCCAGCGCUGCGCCCGGAUCCCGGCUCUGCGCUGCCCCCGCUGAGGCCCGUGGCGUUCAGCGACUCCCGGCGCCAGAGUGCAGGAAACACGACUUCCCAUUCCUCGAGGUCCGGGGUGAGCUGCAGCCCUGAGGAUGAAGCAGAUAGGUGCGGGGUUUAAAGUGCCACUCAAGCAAGCAACCAGGCACAAGGUCCAUACAGACAGCAGGCGCUUGCACGAAAGCGAGACCACCCGUCUAGCUCCUGAAACUCCUGCAAGCCAAGAAGUCUUACAGACCUUGGCAUUUUCAAAAUAAAAGCGUGUAGUGAUGAUA